AAUGUGAAAUAAAAUUCCAAGAAAAGGUCAGGUUGACCAUAACACAGUGGUCAACCUUCAUCCCAAAAAUAAAAUGCUAACAAUAAUUUUAAAUCAUAAAAAUAAAAUCAAUAAAAAAAAGGGUGUUAAAAUGGACCAUUUAGAAUAAAUAAUUAAUAUAAAAUAUUAAUAUUAAACAAAUACGAAAAUAAAAAUUAUAUAAAAUUAAAUAAAAUGCUAAGAAAAGU
rnacentral:lncRNA from 1 species